UACGUAGGGGGCGAGCGUUAUCCGGAUUCACUGGGUGUAAAGGGAGCGUAGACGGCCGAUCAAGUCUGGAGUGAAAGCCCGGGGCCCAACCCCGGGACUGCUCUGGAAACUGGUGGGCUAGAGUGCUGGAGAGGUAAGUGGAAUUCCUAGUGUAGCGGUGAAAUGCGUAGAUAUUAGGAGGAACACCGGUGGCGAAGGCGGCUUACUGGACAGUGACUGACGUUGAGGCUCGAAAGCGUGGGGAGCAAACAGG
rnacentral:rRNA from 1 species